UACGUAGGGGGCAAGCGUUGUCCGGAAUCAUUGGGCGUAAAGAGCGUGUAGGCGGCCCGAUAAGUCCGCUGUGAAAGUCCAGGGCUCAACCCUGGAAUGCCGGUGGGUACUGUCGGGCUCGAAUCCGGAAGAGGUGAGUGGAAUUCCUGGUGUAGCGGUGAAAUGCGCAGAUAUCAGGAGGAACACCAAUGGCGAAGGCAGCUCACUGGGACGGUAUUGACGCUGAGACGCGAAAGCGUGGGGAGCAAACAGG
rnacentral:rRNA from 1 species